UUGUGCUACUCUUAUUUCCCUUUUGGAUGUAGUUCACAGAGAGAAAACACCUGAGUGGUUUGACUGAUGCCUCUAGAUGAUGGGCUUCAUUAUUUUAGAGGAGGCAUAAGAGAAGAGAGAUGUCCUGUGUAUGCUAAGAAACUUAGAAUUGUCUGUUGGAGAUUAAUCCAGGGGAAAAGGCAAGAAAAACAAUUUUAAUCUAUAUAGGAGGCAACAGAGAAGUUUCUGGGAUUCCAUUUUUCACAUCUUACAUCAUAACGAAUAAAUUAUCCAAGAUCAUGUCAGCUGCCCUUCUAAUCACCAUGCUAAAUUUGUUUUAUCAAGUUGCUUCUGAGAAGCCCAGAGAAAAUGGUGGCAGAGGCAAACUACAGCAGAGAUCUCAAACACCAGAUGUGGGCAUGGCCACCACCACUAGGGGGUCAGGGAACAGGUACCACCUGUGCCCCCAGUCACCCCAGAGGUUGGCACAGAGAAGGAGACUGCAACUGAGCACCACCUGUUGUUGCUCUCACUCCCCUGAGAAUGCGCACACCCUGCUGCUACCACUGUCAAGCACUCUGGGCACUUCCCACACAUGCCUGAAGAUAACUGUCACUUCCCAGGGCCCUGCAACUAGAAGAGGCCUGUGCCACCUUCACACAGGUCCUUGCAACUGCCAAGGGCCCAGCAACCAGGCAUUGGCUACUAGCCCUGCCCAUUGCCUGUAUCUCUUUGGAAGCUCAUGCAGCACACAAUAAAUAAAUAGUAAGACCUUCCAAAAUACCCAGGGGUACUGGCACAUAUAAAUAGCUCUCCAAGACUAUAGUAGUUGUUUUAACUAAACACACAGAAUAAGAAAAAUAUAAGCAAAAUGAAGAAGCUCAGGAACCAUUCCCAGUUAAAAGAACAGGAGAAUUAAUCUGAAGGAGCCAAAAAUGAAACAGACCUCUACAAUCUAACAGCUACUGAGUUCAAGAAGGAGACAGUGAAAGUACUGAAGGAAUUAAGGGUGAAUAUAAAGGAAUUAAGAGUGGAUAUGAACAGUGAUGCAGACUACUUUAGAAAGGAACUGGAAAACAUAAGGAGGAGCCAAUAACAAUUAGAAAAUGCAUUCACAGAAAUGUAAGCUGAGUUAAAGGCACUGAAAAGCAGAAUGAAUAAUGCUGAGGAAUGAAUUGGUGACUUGGAAGAGAGAAUAAUGGAAAUCACCCCUUCAGGAUAGCAGACAGAAAACCAAAUGAAAAAAACAUGAAAGCAAUAUAAGGAAUCUAUGGGAUAAUAUAAAGCAGGCCAACCUGCACAUAAUAGGGAUUUCAGAAGGAGAAAAAGAAAAGGGGAUUGAAAAUAUAUUUGAAGAAAUUAUGGCUGAAAACUUUCCACAAAUAAAGGAAACAUAUACCAAGAUACUGGGAAAACAAAGGGCCCCAAACAUGUUGAACCCAAACAGGCCCACACCAAGACUUAUUAUAAUAAAAAUGACAAAAGUUAAACACAAAGAGAGGAUUCUAAAGGCAGCAAGAGAAAAACAAAGAAUUAAUUAUAAGGGAAUCCCCAUAAGGUUAUCAGCUGAUUUUUCUACAGAAACACUACAGGCCAGAAAAGAGUGGCAAGAUAUAUUCAAAAUUCUAAAAGGAAAAAAAUUGCAGCCUAGAACACACUUCCCAGCAAGAAUUUCAUUUAAACAAGAAGGAGAAAUAAAGAAUUUUCCAACAAACAAAAACUAAAAGAUUGCACCAAUUCUAAACCCAUUCUAAAAGAAACACUGAAAGGGCUCCUCUAAAUACAAAUGAAGUAAGAAGAAAUAGGAUGGAGGAAAUCACAAUUGGAAAGCAAUCACCUAAAUAAGCCAGUACACAGAUCUAAAAGAAAAAAAAAACUAUUGUAAAAGUGAUGAUAAAUGCAAGGAACAGCAAAAUGAUAAACAUGAAGAUGUUUAAAAAAGGACUUCAACAUCAUAAAAUGUGGGGAAAGAAAGUAAGAAAAUCUAGAUUCUUUUUUUUAAGAAUGUGGUUGAGUCUAUAUGGCUAUCAGGCUAAAGCAAACAUAUAUAGGAAGGGGUUGACAUACUUCAAAAACAGGGCAACCACAAAUCAAACCAAACAUUACAUUCACAAAAACUAAAAAGAAGCGAACACAAGCAUAAAUGAAAAGGAAACCAUC